AGUGAACGCUGGCGGUAGGCCUAACACAUGCAAGUCGAACGGCAGCACAGUAAGAGCUUGCUCUUACGGGUGGCGAGUGGCGGACGGGUGAGGAAUACAUCGGAAUCUACUUUUUCGUGGGGGAUAACGUAGGGAAACUUACGCUAAUACCGCAUACGACCUACGGGUGAAAGCAGGGGAUCUUCGGACCUUGCGCGAUUGAAUGAGCCGAUGUCGGAUUAGCUAGUUGGCGGGGUAAAGGCCCACCAAGGCGACGAUCCGUAGCUGGUCUGAGAGGAUGAUCAGCCACACUGGAACUGAGACACGGUCCAGACUCCUACGGGAGGCAGCAGUGGGGAAUAUUGGACAAUGGGCGCAAGCCUGAUCCAGCCAUACCGCGUGGGUGAAGAGGGCCUUCGGGUUGUAAAGCCCUUUUGUUGGGAAAGAAAGGCAGCAGGUUAAUACCCCGCUGUUCUGACGGUACCCAAAGAAUAAGCACCGGCUAACUUCGUG
rnacentral:rRNA from 1 species